CUCUCAGACACCACAGUCCAGGAGAGUCUGACAAGGUGGCUUUAUUCCUGAAACUCAGGGACCUGAUCCAACGCGCUGGAAAUUGUGUUUCUUUUCCCAGCUCAGGCUAUUCACCUCAGGCCCCUGUUUUCCUGUCUCCUCCCCAGGAAGGUUGUGAUAAAAAUCAAUGACAUCAUGUCUCACUGGGCCCCAGCCACCCUUCAGGAAGCAGGUGCUUUGGCUGAGUGGAGGCUGGGGCAUUUUUCUGCUGCGCUGGCCUGCAUCUGCCUUUCGAGUAGCCCUAGAGGCCUAACGCUUGAGGUCACCUUCAUGGUUUUUCCAGUGACCUUGGCCAUUAAUGAGCUCCCACCGCUUCCCCAGCUGCAGCUGUAUUAUAGCGCCAGAGUCUUCCAAGCCUGCAGGUUGUGCCAAGCCUGGAGGGAUUUGCAAAAGAAACAUUUGCCUACACCAAGAUCAUGAAGAUGUUUUCUUCUAGAGGAUUUCUAGUUUUAGCUCUUUAUGUUUAAAUUGAGGGAAACUAAAUGUAUGGCCUUAAGGAGCUGUUCCAGCCUGAGACUAUACACCAGCAGAAAGAAACUCACAGCACUGAAAAUAUUGUUCUCCGCCCUCCCUCAUCCCUCUUCCUUCUGAAUGGGAAAAAAGAGUAAGAAGCUUUUCCCUCCAGCUGAAAGCAAAGGAGUACUCUAGCCCUCUGUGAUAGCUGAUGGCAGCAUCUUUGGUAAGCAAAUGGAUCGUCUCUGCCAAGAAGGAAGAAAAAAAGAAGCAUUAAUUGGGCACCUUCUACUUGCCAGGCUCCAUUCUAGAGAAUUUACCUAAAUCAUCUCAUUGAAUUCACAUGACUAGAUAAUGUAAAGAGUGGUCACCUCCCCAUUUCACAGAUCAGGAAACUGAGGCUCCGACUAGAAAGAUGAAGCAACUUGCCUAGCUAGUGAUUCCAAUCUGGGUUUUGCUGAUUCUUUGCUUAACCUUCCUGAAAUGCCCCUUUUCUUCUCCUCAAGGUGGCUCUCCCAGAGAGGCUGCUCUCUUUGCUGGAAUUUGCCUUGUUCUCUCCUCACUGCUGAAGCACUGUCACUGCGUCCUAAAAAAACACCACAGUAUCCGUAAGACGUUGCCUGUCAUUGGAGGUUUGCUCCUUCUCUCUAUCUCAGACAGGAUUCAAUGAAGAAAACAGAAGCCACUCAGCGCAAGAACAGACUCAUACAGGAUCACUGCAUGUGGAAUCAGGUAAGACAAGGUCAUACUGGAGUAGGAAAGGGGUUAAUCCAAUAUGACUGGUGUCCUUAAAAAAUGGGAAAUUCAUCGAGGGCAGAUUGGAUAAAGGAAAUGUUGUACAUAUACACUAUGGAAUACUUCACAGCUAUAAAAAAGGAGAAGAUUAUGUCCUUUGCAGGUACAGGAAUGGAGCUAGAGGUCAUCAUCCUUAGCAAACUAAUGCAGGAACAGAAAACCAAAUGCCACAUGUUCUCACUUAUAAGUUGAAGGUAAAUAAUGAGAACACGUGGACACAUAGAGGGGAAUAGCACACACUGGGGCCUACUUGAGGGUAGAAGGUGGGAGGAAGGAGAGGAUCAGAAAAAACGAUUGGUUACUAGGCUUACUACCUGGUUGAUGAAAUAAUCUGUACAGCAAACCCCAGUAUCAAGAGUUUACCUAUAUAACAAAACUGCACAUGUACCCCUGAACCUAAAAUAAAAGCUUUUUAUAAAAAGAAAAGAAAAAGGGCUGGGCAUGAUGGCUCACACCUGUAAUCCCAGGACUUUAGGACACCCAGGUGGGUGGACUGCUAAGCUCAGGAGUUCAAGACCAGCCUAGGCAACAUUGCGAAACCCCGUCUCUACAAAAAUUAGCCAGGCAUGGUGGCAUGUACCUGAAGUCCCAUCUACUUGCAGGGCUGAGGCCAGAGGAUCGCUUGAACCCAGGAGGUGGAGAUUGUAGUGAGUUGUAUUUGUGCCACUGCACUCCAGCCUCGUUGACAGAGCAAGGGCAAGACCUUUUCUUUAAAAAAAAAAAAAGAAAGAAAGAAAAGAAAAAGAAAAGACAAGAAAAGAAAAGAAAAGGAUAUAAUCAGCCAAAUUCAAAAUGUGUGAAAUGCUACAAGCUUCCAGGACUGUGAAACAAGACAUUUCUUUGGUUCAAGCCACUCCCUUAGUGCACAUUGUUAUGGCAGCCAUGGAAAACCAUCCACAGAGGCCCUGGGCCCAGCUGCUGCAGGUGGCCAGGAAGGAGCCUGGGAGGAUGACGGGGUUCCUGAUCUGAUAGAACUGGGCUGUGACUAGGCAGAACCCUGUUCCACCACACACACCCCAGUGGAGGACGUUCUGUAUCUGUGAUGAAUGACCCCUGCAUACAUUAUAUCUUUCAGUAAAAACAGUGGUGUUUCAGUAGUGUUACUAGCUAAGCUGCUUAACUCUCACAUUACAGACGUCAGUGAAGCCCCUUGGUAGGUAGUGUCUAAAAUUAGAUUUAUCUGCUUAUUUACACAAUUAUACUCUCAUGAGUUUGAAUGUUGGGGAAAGAUCAAGAAAAAGACCAGAUCACUAGAUGGCAAUAGCACACAAGAGCUUUAUUUGGAUGAAGCUUGGACAGAAUGCAUGGAAGGGGAAAGUCCCUUGCAGCAGAAGACCUUCCAGAGGCAGUGGCAGGGCCACCACCAGAAGAAAAGGGCAAGGACACUCCCAGGGGAGAGGAGGAUCAGAGAGGAGGUUACAGGUCUAAGAGAUGUCACAGGUCUAGAAGAAAAGAAAAGGAGCCAGGUGCAGUGGCUCACACCUGUAAUCCCAGCACUUUGGGAGGCCCAGGCGGGCAGAUUGCUGAGUUCAGGAGUUUGAGACCAGCCUAGGCAAACAUGGUGAAACCCCAUCUCUAAAAAAAGAUUUAAAAAUUAACCAGGCCUGGUGGCAUGUACCUGAAGUCUCAUUUACUUGGGGGGCUAAGGCUGGAGGAUCGUUUGAACCCAAGAGGGUUCAUGGUGGGGAGCAUCAUGGUGAGGAGUCUCUGGGUCAGAGAGCUCCAAAGGACAGCAGCCAUUUGGGGUCUUUUGUAGCCCUGAGGUUCGUCUUACCUAUGGUGAGAGGGUGUCGGGUGUAGUUUUGCAAAUUAUCGAAGCAGGCAGGCUCUAAAUGGGCAAAUAAUAUUUGGCCUACAUUUAAAGCAAUUGGAUGUGCAAGAAUUUGAGUUUGGUGCUGGCAGGCUUGAGUUAACGGUCCUGGGCUGUGGUGUGGAAGUAAACAGCAUGGGGGCCAAUACACAGGGGCUGUCUUGAACUCGUUCAUACAAUCCAUUUAUAACCUGUUUAUAACUUGUUUAUAACCCAUUUAUACCACAUACCCCUAAAGCAAAUACCUAGCAGAUAGCAUGCAGGGCCUAUUUGCCUGGCCUCCUUCAAUGGCAUCACAUUCUCCACCACCACGAUGGUUAAUAUGGACGAGCCCUAGCAGCUGCCCAGUGAAGUCCACACGCUACUGCCCAAACCAGCUCAAGUCCUUAGUUGUCAUGAAAAUAAUGUGAGUUCCCACAGCCGUAAAAGGGAAAGCAGCAAGAGCCACAUGAGCAUCCCCGGAACCCUGGGAACAGUCAUCAGUGUCAUCUUCAGGGUCAUGUCCCUACAAGCAGUUCUCAGGCUCCUGCUGAGGGUCAGAACAGAGCCGAAGUCACAGGAUAUCAAAAAUGGAUAAGCCCAACCUCAGCUCGCAGAGGAAUUGCUCAGCUGACAGAUGAUUGUGUUAUCUCAGUGAAGCCAGAUGACAAUGUACUUGGCCAACGGAACAUCUUGGUCAAUGGAUCUCCAAGUUGGUUAUAAAAUUAAAGCAAAAUAAUGCCAUUAUAUGUAAGAUGUCAUUGAUUGUAAGAUGCUCCUUUAUUUGAUGUACCACUAAUAAAUAAAAACACUGACAUUUAAACAAUGACAAUUGCAUAACACAUCUGCUUGUUCAAUGUUAAAUAUGAAAAAAUGUGC
rnacentral:lncRNA from 1 species